rnacentral:rRNA from 1 species
AUAACUUUCAACAACGGAUCUCUUGGCUCUCGCAUCGAUGAAGAACGCAGCGAAAUGCGAUACGUAAUGUGAAUUGCAGAAUUCAGUGAAUCAUCGAAUCUUUGAACGCAUAUUGCGCUCUUUGGUAUUCCGAAGAGCAUGCUUGUUUGAGUAUCAGUAA